rnacentral:rRNA from 1 species
CCUACGGGUGGCAGCAGUGAGGAAUAUUGGUCAAUGGGCUUACGCCUGAACCAGCCAAGUCGCGUGAGGGAAGACUGCCCUAUGGGUUGUAAACCUCUUUUGUCAGGGAGCAACGCCGGCUACGUGUAGCCUGACUGAGAGUCCCUGAAGAAAAAGCCUCGGCUACCUCCGUGCCAGCAGCCGCGGUAAUCCGGAGGAUUCGAGCGUUAUCCGGAUUUAUUGGUUUUAAAGGUUGCGUAGGCGGAAUGCCAAGUCAGCGGUAAAAGCGCGGGGCUCAACCCAGCUCCGCCGUUGAAACUGGCGUGAUGGAGUGGGAGAGAAGUAUGCGGAAUGCGUGGUGUAGAGGUGAAAUGCAUAGAUAUCGCGCAGAACUCAGAUUGCGAAGGCAGCAUACCGGCGCCCAACUGACGCUGAAGCACGAAAGCGUGGGUAUCGAACAGGAUUAGAUACCCCUGUAGUC